rnacentral:rRNA from 1 species
AAGGGCACCACAAGAACGCGUGGAGCAUGUGGCUUAAUUUGACUCAACGCUGGAAAUCUUACCGGGUCCGGACACACUGAGGAUUGACAGGCAAUCAUGUGAAAUGUUUUUAACUUUUACAUAUAAAUAUGCUAGUCCUUUCAUGAUUAUGUGAUAGGUGGUGCAUGGCCGUUCUUAGUUCGUGGAGUGAUCUGUCUGCUUAAUUGCGUUUCGCAUAUGACUUAAACUCAAGUGUGCUUCUUUUCUUGUUUAUAUUUUUUAUUGUAUAUUGUGAAAAUAAAUAUAUAUGUGUUAUAAAAAUGAUUACCCUAAAUUAUUUAAUUUAUGUGUGUUUUCAUUAAAUGUGUAUAAUAUUCUUACAUUUUUACUAAAAUAUUCACUAUUUUGAAAUUGUUUGCGCACAUUAGGUCCUAAAAGCAACGAACGUGACCGCAUCCUCUUGUUGCCUUUUACUAAAACAAGUAUUUUUAAUAAAUUAUUUACAAGUUUUGACAAAAGAGUGCUUUAUAAAACUAGAGGGACCGCUGCGAUUUUUUUAAACCAGAGGAAGGUUGCGGCAAUAACAGGUCUGUGAUGCCCUUAGAUGUUCCUGGCUGCACACGUGCUACAAUGAUUAUUGCAGUGAGCAUCUCAUUUUUAUAAUGCUGUAUCAUCAAUCAGUCUUUUUUAAAGUUAACUGAUUUAGUUGAGCAGUCAAGCCUGCUUCGAAAGUUCGCAGGUAAUCAAUUGGAAGUAAUGAUUUCCCUUAAUUCAAAUAUUUUUGAUUUUGCGAGCACACAAUAUGCUGCUCCCUUCCCCGGCAGUUAGCUUUUUUUGGUCUUUCUGUCUUUUAGUGAGUUGGGAUGUUUUUCAGCAUGUGCUUUUUGUCAAUUCUUGGUGGGGACAGACCAUUGUUAAUUGUUGGUCUCGGUCUUAACUAGGAAUGCCUUGUACGGGUCUUUGGUUCAACAAACCACCCGGAAUACGUCCCUGCCCUUUGUACACACCGCCCGUC